GAGACCAUUUUAAGUUUCAAGCAGAAAAGACUGCCUCAACAAGGGUAUGCGUCUUCUUAGGGUAUCCCAGGCCAACCAUGUGGUUGAGAUACACCUUCCCAUCCUUCACAGUUGCUGCUGUGGCCAACCGAUGCUUCGGCCCCGAGAAGGUUCCCACUACCGAAGCUGUCUCCCAGCCAUCAGAGCUCUCCACUAACCUAGCAGAAGGGUUCCCAGCAACUACAAUCUUGGUGGGAGACAGUAGCUCUAGACCAUCUCCAAAUGUUAGCGGUCCUCCAACUACCUUAAUUAGCUUCACUUCCUCUCCCUUUGCUAGAUCAAUCUUGAACAAAUUGCCGCUGAAAGUGUGAAUAACUA
rnacentral:lncRNA from 1 species